rnacentral:rRNA from 1 species
UACGUAGGUGGCAAGCGUUGUCCGGAUUUACUGGGCGUAAAGGAUGCGUAGGCGGACAUUUAAGUCAGAUGUGAAAUACCCGAGCUUAACUUGGGUGCUGCAUUUGAAACUGGGUGUCUAGAGUGCAGGAGAGGUAAGUGGAAUUCCCAGUGUAGCGGUGAAAUGCGUAGAUAUUGGGAGGAACACCUGCGGCGAAGGCGGCUUCCUGGACCGAUACUGACGCUGAGACGCGAAAGCGUGGGGAGCAAACAGG